rnacentral:rRNA from 1 species
UCUGGUAAUGAUGGCAGAGAGGUCACACCCGUUCCCAUACCGAACACGGAAGUUAAGCUCUCUAGCGCCGAUGGUAGUUGGGCCCUUGUCCCUGUGGGAGUAGGACGUUGCCAGGC